AUUGAACGCUGGCGGCAGGCCUAACACAUGCAAGUCGAGCGGAUGAAGGGAGCUUGCUCCUGGAUUCAGCGGCGGACGGGUGAGUAAUGCCUAGGAAUCUGCCUGGUAGUGGGGGAUAACGUCCGGAAACGGGCGCUAAUACCGCAUACGUCCUGAGGGAGAAAGUGGGGGAUCUUCGGACCUCACGCUAUCAGAUGAGCCUAGGUCGGAUUAGCUAGUUGGUGGGGUAAAGGCCUACCAAGGCGACGAUCCGUAACUGGUCUGAGAGGAUGAUCAGUCACACUGGAACUGAGACACGGUCCAGGCUCCUACGGGAGGCAGCAGUGGGGAAUACUGGACAAUGGGCGAAAGCCUGAUCCAGCCAUGCCGCGUGUGUGAAGAAGGUCUUCGGAUUGUAAAGCACUUUAAGUUGGGAGGAAGGGCAGUAAGUUAAUACCUUGCUGUUUUGACGUUACCAACAGAAUAAGCACCGGCUAACUUCGUA
rnacentral:rRNA from 1 species